CAGCAGCCGCAGCCAGCUGUCCCCGCCCCAGGUGUUUGCCAUUGCAGCCUAUUCUAAGGGAUUCGCCUGUUCCGCCGGGCCAGGGAGGGUUCUACUGUACGAGAAGGUGGACGACAAGGAGUCGUACCGUGAGAGCAGGGAAAUCCGGGUGAGGAGGGGAGGCAGGGGCAAAGUUGGGGCCCGACUGGCAUUUGUUCGGGGGCAGCAGGGCACCGACAGGGCGGGCGUUGGAUGGGGAGAGGCUGGGGUGCUGAGCAGAAAGGGACUUGAGACAUUUGCCUGCGGGGAGUUUUAGGAUGGGCUGGGCAGAAUCGAGGUUAGAAUCAGGGAGAUCUGGCUCUGAAUCCUGGGAGAGGACUUUGGCAAAUUCGGUUUUCUCUUUGAAGAUCCGUGUUCCCAUAAACGUGUGUGAUUAUGAUGUCUCUGACACCUCAUGUCGAGAACACUGCCUGGUGCGAGCAUCCAGGAACGUUCGUGGAAGAAAUGACACAGACGGUGGAGGGAGAGCUUAUCUGUUUGGGGAAGAACCGGGAAGGCCUCAGGUGUUUGAGGCUAAUCUUUGAGGAGGGGUCGUAGAGGGUGGGUGACAUUUGACAGGAGGAAAGAGUCAGGAAUUCCAAGGGGAAGGGACAAAUUAGGCAAAGUCACCAGUGAUGGAGAGCAGGUGCUGUGUUUGGGGGAGGUCCGUUGCCCAGUGGAGGGGCCUGAAGUCACUUAAAGGGAGAGAGAGGAGCUGCGAAUGGUGAAAGGCGGCAAACGCCAGCCUGGAGAGCGUGUGUGUAAUUCGGCAGGCGUCCUGUGUCCGUGGAGAAGCAUUACGCUUCAGAAAAGUAACCUGCCUGUGUUGCCUGGUGCGGGUGAUUUGGCGGCAUUGGAUGCGAAGUGGUUAAUUACCCAUGGAAUGAGUUAGACCUGACUCACUUUUACUGGCUGAGUGACUUCACAUGGGUUGCAGAAUCUAGAACACUCGUAAGAUAAUGGCGCAUCCCUGCUGGUUAUCAAAAGAAUGGAACAACAGCCAUGUAAUCACUCUGUGUACUGCCUGUGCUCGAUAAAUGCAUUAGUAGCUAUCCUUGCCACGAUCAGGAGUUAGUUCUGAGGCUUUCAGGUGAGGGCUCGGCAGUGAGGAGCACAGAGAGCCUUUGCAAAGCUUAAGUCCAUAGGACGUUCCCUGAGCAGAUGCAGGAGCCCAGAGAUGAGCAGCUCUCAGAGAGGAUGCGCAGGCUGUGUGCUGCAUGCCGGGAAAAGACGCCAGGAUGAGGGGUGGGUGAGAGCAAGGCAGGCGGUGUCGGGGAAGGAGCACGAAAACAGAUGGAUCUUGGAGAAUGACAGCUGAUUCUCGUAAGCUUCGCCAGGUGGUGACUCCAAUUGCAGCUGUGUUUCCAGAUGUGAUUUGGAUGCUUGAGCAAAUGAACCUACUCUCUUGUACCUGGUCAUUAUUUUGUCUCAGGCAUCUUGAUGGCCUUUCCAUUUCCAAAAGAUGUCACGCUAGUCUACUGCAUUGAUACUGUGAUGCGCUUGAACCUGGUGAGCAGGAAGUUGCCACUAUGCUAGGCAUUAUGUGAGACAUUUGCAUGUCAGAAGAGGAAAAUGAAUCCGACAAAAAUAUAGAGGACUUCCACUCCAGUGAAAUUUCUAGGGGUCCAGUGGUGGCGGGCAGGUUGAGCUAUCCCUUCUAAAGUGAAGGAUAAGUUGUUGCAUCUGGCCCCUUCCUGCGCUAAGAAAAGGGUGAUGUGUACUGGUGGCAGGGAUGGAGGUUAUACAUGGGUUUGGUUUUCGGAUGGAUGGAACAUAUUCCUCCUUUGGGUGUGCCAUUCUGGUGUAUUUACUGAGUGACAGGAAAAGCCUCUAGUGUUAUAUAAAGCCUGGAAAAAAAAAAAAAAGAGACGGUUCUUCAGGUCCAGGCUGCUCUUGCAUUUGGACCCUGUGACCCAGCAGAUCUGAUGGAUCUUGAAGUGUCAGCAGCAGGUGGAGGUGUUGUUUGGAGACUUUGGCAGCACGUAUAGGUGAAUCCCAGCACAGACCCUUAGGAUAUUGGAGGAAAUCUUGCUAUUCUCUGAGGACAACCAGCCUCAUUUUGAGAAAUAGCAUUUGGUUGCGACAGAACACUUAACCAUAAGCUAUGAAAAUACCAUGCGACUUGAACUCUCAUCAUCAACUUGAUGUUGCCUGACUUGCCGAGAGACGAAGUUGGCUCACGUGGUUGCACUAACUCCAUGGUCAAACGGAAGUGGUAUGUGCACAGACUGGACUCAUCAGUCCGUGAAGGCACACAGGUUACAUGAGGAAGUGGCCCAAAUUCCUUGUUCCUGAUACAUGACCCCCAUAGUCUGCACCUACCCUCUCGUGGGGAGUUCCCUCCCUAUGGUCGGCUGAUGAGGAAGAGAAAAGUCAGGUCUGGUUUACAGACGGCCCUGCAGGAUAUGCAAGCACCACCUGGAAGUCGACAGCUGUACGAUCAUAUUACAGCUCCUUCCCUGGACAUCCUCGAAGGACAGUGCUGAAGAGAAAUCCUUCUAGGAGGCAGAACACCAAGUAGGGAGCUUGGCUGUCCAUUUAUCUAGAAGGAAAAAUGACCAGAGGUAAGAAUCUAUGUUUUUUGCUUUCAUUGUUUUCACUCUUAAAAUUAAAGUGUAAUUACUUUACAGUGUUUCCCAAUUUCUGCUAUAGAGCAAAGCAACCCACAUUCUUUUAUAUGCCAUACAUGUAUAUACAUUCUUUUUU